rnacentral:rRNA from 1 species
GACGAACGCUGGCGGCGUGCUUAACACAUGCAAGUCGAACGGAAAGGCCCUGCUUUUGUGGGGUGCUCGAGUGGCGAACGGGUGAGUAACACGUGAGUAACCUGCCCUUGACUUUGGGAUAACUUCAGGAAACUGGGGCUAAUACCGGAUAGGAGCUCCUGCUGCAUGGUGGGGGUUGGAAAGUUUCGGCGGUUGGGAAUGGACUCGCGGCUUAUCAGCUUGUUGGUGGGGUAGUGGCUUACCAAGGCUUUGACGGGUAGCCGGCCUGAGAGGGUGACCGGCCACAUUGGGACUGAGAUACGGCCCAGACUCCUACGGGAGGCAGCAGUGGGGAAUAUUGCACAAUGGGCGGAAGCCUGAUGCAGCAACGCCGCGUGCGGGAUGACGGCCUUCGGGUUGUAAACCGCUUUCGCCUGUGACGAAGCGUGAGUGACGGUAAUGAGUAAAGAAGCACCGGCUAACUACGUG